AUUGAACGCUGGCGGCAGGCUUAACACAUGCAAGUCGAGCGGAGUGAUGGUGCUUGCACUAUCACUUAGCGGCGGACGGGUGAGUAAUGCUUAGGAAUCUGCCUAUUAGUGGGGGACAACAUCUCGAAAGGGAUGCUAAUACCGCAUACGUCCUACGGGAGAAAGCAGGGGAGCACUUGUGACCUUGCGCUAAUAGAUGAGCCUAAGUCGGAUUAGCUAGUUGGUGGGGUAAAGGCCUGCCAAGGCGACGAUCUGUAGCGGGUCUGAGAGGAUGAUCCGCCACACUGGGACUGAGACACGGCCCAGACUCCUACGGGAGGCAGCAGUGGGGAAUAUUGGACAAUGGGGGGAACCCUGAUCCAGCCAUGCCGCGUGUGUGAAGAAGGCCUUAUGGUUGUAAAGCACUUUAAGCGAGGAGGAGGCUCUUUUGGUUAAUACCCAAGAUGAGUGGACGUUACUCGCAGAAUAAGCACCGGCUAACUCUGUGCCAGCCGCCGCCGUAA
rnacentral:rRNA from 1 species